GACGAACGCUGGCGGCGUGCUUAACACAUGCAAGUCGAACGAUGAAGCCGGAGCUUGCUCUGGUGAAUUAGUGGCGAACGGGUGAGUAACACGUGAGUAACCUGCCCCUGACUCCGGGAUAACUGCUAGAAAUGGUAGCUAAUACCGGAUACGACCCUCGGAGGCAUCUCCAGGGGGUGGAAAGAAUUUCGGUCAAGGAUGGACUCGCGGCCUAUCAGCUAGUUGGUGAGGUAAUGGCUCACCAAGGCGACGACGGGUAGCCGGCCUGAGAGGGUGACCGGCCACACUGGGACUGAGACACGGCCCAGACUCCUACGGGAGGCAGCAGUGGGGAAUAUUGCACAAUGGGCGCAAGCCUGAUGCAGCAACGCCGCGUGAGGGAUGACGGCCUUCGGGUUGUAAACCUCUUUUAGUAGGGAAGAAGCGAAAGUGACGGUACCAACAGAAAAAGCACCGGCUAACUACGUGCCAGCAGCCGCCGUAA
rnacentral:rRNA from 1 species